rnacentral:rRNA from 1 species
CCCUUAGAUGUUCUGGGCUGCACGCGUGCUACACUGAUUAUUUCAACAAGUGUUUUAACUGGAGAGUUCGCGUAAUCCUGAAAUGUUAUCGUGAUGGGAGUAGAGUAUUGUAUUUGUUAAUCUUUAACGAGGAAUUCCUAGCAAGUGUAGGUUUAUAAGUUGUUCUGAUUACGUCCCUGCCCUUUGUACACAUCGCCCGUCGCUCCUACCGAUUGAUUGAUCCGGUGAAUUACAUAGAAUUUUGCGUUUUACAUGACGGAAGACGAAGUGUUUUAAACCUUAUCAUUUAGAGGAAGGAGAAGUCGUAACA